GUUUCUUCUUCAAGAAUUUGCAAAACCAAUUUCAUACAUGUAAUAAGGAUGGCUCAUUUUUUUGUCCCAACCUAAAAAAAGCUAUUCUUUUUAAAUCAGAUUUUGUUCCUUCUGUAACAGUUCAGCCCAAUAGUGAUAUUGUCCACUCUAGACCAAGACCAAUACGCUUUAAAACGCAUCAUUAGGGUGUAACGUCUGCUUACUUAUAUACCCAACAUUUCUCCUAUGUUUUGACAUGAGGACUCUUAUCCUAAGCUACGGUGGCACGCCUUCUUCAAGAAUUUGCAAAACAAACAAACAAACAACAAACCCAGUGUAUUCCCACCUAGUGGGGUCUGAGGGGUAAGAUGUACGCAGUCCAUACCUCUACCUCUAAAGAAGUAGAAAGCCUUCUUCAAGAAUUUGCAAAACCAAUUUCAUAUAUGUACUAAAGGUGACUCUUUUUUUUUUUUUUGUCUCAGCCUAAAAAUGCUAAUCUUUUUAACACAGAUUUUGUUCCUUCUGCGACAAUUUGCAGAACCAGACAAAGUUUCACACUUAACAAAGCAAAAAGAACAAUAAAACAGAAACACAUACAGCAAUUAAAUCACAUGCUUAGUACAAAGAUAAUGAAAGAUUGUGGAAAACAAAGAAAACCCAAAAUACAGAUACCUGCAAUGGAGAAGGGACCAAAGAGAGAAGGAGGAGAAAACCAGGUAUGUGAGGACCAAGAAGAAGAAAAGGAAGAUGGGAUUGGGGUAAAACACUCCAUUGAAGCAAAAAAAGUUACAAUCUUGAAGUGUUUGAAGAAAAAAGGUACAAUCUUGAAGUGUUACAAUUUACAAAGCCUCAUUUUUUGUUUUUUUUACUGAAGCUGCUUACUUCCAAUGCUUCUCCAUUCUUGAAACUUACUGUUAUUUUUUUUGAAUAAGGGUGCGUUUGGUAUGAAGGAGAA